rnacentral:rRNA from 1 species
CCGGGACUUGUCCCGGGGCAAGCCGCGAACGGGUGAGUAACACGUGGGUAACCCACCCGGUUGACAGGGACAACCCGAGGAAACUCGGGCUAAUACCUGAUGUGCUCCAUCCUCAUCAGGGGAUGGAUGAAAGGAAGCUUCGGCCUCCGCAACCGGACGGGCCCGCGGCCCAUUAGCUUGUUGGUGAGGUAACGGCUCACCAAGGCUUCGAUGGGUAGCUGGUCUGAGAGGACGAUCAGCCACACUGGGACUGAGACACGGCCCAGACUCCUACGGGAGGCAGCAGUGGGGAAUCUUGCGCAAUGCGCGAAAGCGUGACGCAGCAACGCCGCGUGAGGGAAGAAGGCCUUCGGGUUGUAAACCUCUUUCAGUUGGGACGAAGGUCCACCGGUUAAUAGCCGGUUGGACUGACGGUACCUUCACAAGAAGCACCGGCUAACUACGUGCCAGCAGCCGCGGUAAUA